rnacentral:lncRNA from 1 species
CGUGUGAACUCCCUUUUUGAAUUUAGGCGUCACUUCGACAACACCUUGAAAGGUUGAAAGUGGCAAGAUAACUUCUCUUACUUGGACUAUUGGAAAGAGAAACAUGCUGAAUGAAAAAUUGAAAGUGGCAAGAUAACUUCUCCUUUUUGGACUAUUGGAAAGAGAAGCAUGCUAAAUAAAAACAUCUACAACCCGGCCUCCAUUCGAGAUGGGUGAGAUGUUGCAGAAUUCUUCAGGUGAAUACACUUGGUCGGAAGAUAUCUUCUUUUUAUGGACUAAGGAAAAGAGAAACAUGCUGAAUGAAAACAUCUACAACCCGGCCUCCAUUUGAGAUUGGUGUAAAGUUAGAGAUUCUUCAGGUGAAUACGAUUGGUUAAAGGAACUCAAGAUGUUGUUUCUUAUCCAGAGCCAGACUGUUAGACAGGCAAGAACAGACUUCAUGUCGGGACCUACGCAUUGGCUCAACCAUGAGUGUUAAAGCUGUAAUAUCUGCUUCCUCUCCACAACCUGAUCAAGUUGCCCACCAUCGAAAACUGUGCAGGACAUGGCAAGGAAGUUUACAAGCAGUCAGUGUUGAUGUGAAUGUUCUUGGAGCUCAACCUUCAUCUGCGGAAUGUAGUUCAGUGGUUCAUCAAUCUUGAAGAACGCCAUUUGCUUUAGAAGUUAUUCCUAAGAAAAAGAUUUACAAGGAUCAGAUGGAACAGAUGUUGGUUUCUCACAUCUUCCCAGAAUUCCAGAGUCUGCAUGGCUACAUGAGAGCGAGGGGAUGUGUUUGUACCAAGCAACGAUGCUCUGCUUGGGAGAAGUCGACAUGUCUUCACUGGAUGCCGUACUGUUGUGGACCUGGAGAUAUGUGUUUAUGCCGUUUCAGUACCUGGAGCUCAAUUUUCAUCCGAGGAAAGAAGUUAGCAGCUGAUCAAUCUUGAAGAGCUUCAUUUGCUUCAGAAGAUAUUCACAUGUGUUUAUGCUGUUUCACUACUUGGAGCUCAACCUUCCUUGAGUAAAGAAGUAAGCGGAAAGUCAAUUUUGAAGAGCUUCAUUUGCUUCAGAAGAUAUUUACAAGCUACUUUUCUCCAUCCAUCUUUUCAUCCAUGCUGUUUCAGUACUUGGAACUCAACCUUCAUCCGCGGAAUGUUGUUAGCGGUUUGUCAAUCUUGAAGAACGUCAUUUGCUUCAGAAAAUAUACCUAAGUACUUGGAGCUCAACCUUCAUCCGAGGAAAGAAGUUAGCAGCUGAUCAAUCUUGAAGAACGUCCUUUGCUUCAGAAGAUAUUCCUAAGGACCUCUCAACUACAUUUGACACACUUAAAGCAGAAAGACGGCAUUUGACACUUCGUACAGCAGCAGGACGGCAUUUGUUCUCUGUGCAUUCAGAAGUAUGCAGUUGCCUGCCCAGUUAGUACUAUCGUCAGGCGCAAAUCAGGAAGAGAUAAAAAUUUGUAAUUAUCAACCUGCGUGUAAUAGAGGGGAAUCAUGAGCAAUUGAGCAUUCAAAUAAUCAGAAUAUACACGUAUAAUGAAAUAUGAUGAUACGCAUUGAUUGGAAAAGGUUUAAUGUUGAGUGGAAGAUUGUAAUUUGAAAUGUAAGCAGGUUGAGACACAUUGGAAAUGCAGUCUCAUUCACGUUCUGUGCUUUUUAUGCCUCUGCAACGAAGUAGCCGGAGGCAUUAUUGUAAAUGAGUUCACCUUGACCCAAAAUUUUGCUAUAUGCCUACAUUACAAGAUAAGGUUGUCAGUCAAGAUACAUGUAUAUGUCCCUCUAUAUGAAAAGAUCUCAUCAGAAAGAUAAUAAACACUUUAUUUCAUUAAUCAUUUCUCUACAGUACUCUUCUCUUUUAUUAAAAAAAGUAUAUGAGAGGUAACUGUUGGCCUGUUCUAAUCACAAAUACAAACGUAAGGUGUGAGAAAUAAGUUUUUCUCUUACCUAAAACAAAGGAGCCAGUACAAGUCAAACCCAUGUCUGCUCUCCCCAAAGGCAAGAUGGAAAUCACAACAUUCUUAUCAGGAAUGCUACCAGUGGUAACUCCAAAAGAGGGAGGAGACAAGAAAGUGAGAGAGUUACCUUAGUUUUUUCGACCACUCGAAAUUGUUUCAUUGGCAUUGUUGUGGCUGAGUAGCAGAGCUGCCAACCAUUGUUUUUUCCGCAAAAUUCCUUGAUCAUGAAGAAAUCAUUUAUAAGCUAUUUUGCAUACAAUAGAUAAUACUUCUAUUUUCUGCAUGGUGCCUCUGUGGUCUUCAACCCCACUGAAUAUGGAAAGUCAGAUCCCAUUUUCUUAUUCUAUUUUUCCAGUUACCGCUUUAUAACAUCCAGUGUUGGUGCCGAUGAGCAGCAGGGUUGUGUGGUUUUUAUUUUUAAAAAUUCAUAGUGGGCUAAUGUGUAAAAAGUAACCAAUCCGGACUUUGAAAAACAUGACCCAUGAGCUUAGGUGCUAAGAACCUCGACCCGUCUGGUCUGGCCUUGGUAAACGUAAGGCCGUAUCCUUAUCCAGUAAUGCUCUACGCUUAUGUAUAACUUGUUUCACCGUUUUGUGGUUAAAAUGUUCCGCGAUUUUAAUAUUAACUUUCUUGGCAUGCUCAUAUUGAAUCAUGGGCUGCCUGAGUAGGAGGACUUCUUCUUCUGUCCAAAUGUCCCUCCGGUUUCUCAUUGUUUGUUUUCUCGCACUUUCAUCUUAUCUGGCCCUUCUUCUAGUGCUCAGACAUGCAGACGGGUGUCUAUGUCGCUCGUGCUGAGACAGCCCUCUUUUCGUUCUACUAAUAAAAUAGAGUUAAAAAAAAAAAAUUAUAAAUUAAUUAUAAUAGAAAUCAUAUCAAUCAAUCAAUAUUUUUAAAAUAAACGGACAUUAUAAAAGAAAAUCAAAUAUAAUUGAUAAAAUAGCAUGUAUGUUGACAGCUUGUCAUUGACUUCUUGUGACCAAACGCAGCUCCUGAAAGUAAAUUGAUU